rnacentral:rRNA from 1 species
UCGAGAAUCUUCGGCAAUGGGGGAAACCCUGACCGAGCGACGCCGCGUGCGAGAUGAAGGCCUUCGGGUUGUAAAUCGCUGUCAGUGGGGAGGAAAUGCCGGUGGGUUCUCCCAUCGGUUUGACCUAUCCGCAGAGGAAGGACGGGCUAAGUUCGUGCCAGCAGCCGCGGUAAUACGGACCGUCCAAACGUUAUUCGGAAUCACUGGGCUUAAAGGGUGCGUAGGCGGUCCGGGAAGUUGGGUGUGAAAGCCCUCGGCUCAACCGAGGAAUUGCGCCCAAAACUGCCGGGCUCGAGGGAGACAUAGGUGAGCGGAACUUAGGGUGGAGCGGUGAAAUGCGUUGAGAUCCUAAGGAACACCAGUAGCGAAAGCGGCUCACUGGGUCUCUUCUGACGCUGAAGCACGAAAGCUAGGGGAGCGAAGA